ensembl:lncRNA
GCUGGCUCUUCUGAAAGGAGGGGACAAAUGACAGUCUAUCAAACAGCAUGCUUUCAAAGAAAGAGGAGACCUGUUCCAGAACUGCAGCUUCAGAGGCUCUUUUAACAACAUAAGCAAAACUGGGAGCCAACCUCAUUUUUUCCCCCUGGCUGUAAUGAACACACAGCUUAGCUACAGCAGUCUCCCACCCCCAGUAAAAUGAACUGGAAUUACAAAGCUUAUGAAGAAAACAAGUGUCAUUUUUUUCCCUCUAUCUUUUUCCUUUCUUUUUAAUUGUUUUUUUUUUCUUUCUUUCCUAUUUCUUUCUCUUUUUUUGGAUCGAAAGUAAGACCAAAAAAUGUCAAAAGGGAAAGGAGAGGGGUUCUGAGAUCAGUCUCAAAUCUCAGAAGAAGACUGCGGGAAAUGGUGCCAAAUUGAAGUGUUUAUCCAUGGCCUCAAGCGGAGGCGGCGCCGGCUUCUUUGUACCACUCGACAUGCUCUGAUCUCAACCUGGUGGCCAGCGGCUGUCAGCACGGAGGCCUGGGCAUGGUGCUGCUUCCCUGGGUGAUGUCCACCAGGACCUCCAACAUCACCCGCUCAUUAGGAUGUCUCUGAACAGCUGUCAUGUGGUGCUGACUUUUUGUCACAGCUGAUAGUGAAACUUGUCCCCUCAAGCUACUGAUGACACAUUCACUUUGCACCUUCACAGAGAGAGAAAGGGGAGAUCUGCCUUUUGAAGCAGAAAAAGCAACUGCUGCAAACCUGCAGUGUGUUUAAUGGAAGAGGACGUCUGGUUUCCAUGUAACGCUAAUAAAGUAUUCAGUACACUGGCAGGAGGAGCCUGGAAUGGAUGUGGGUGGUGAGGGUUGUGGGAAGCAGAGAGGAGACAGAGGGGUGUUAGAGGAUGGCCAGCUUGUGAUAGCAGGGAAAUCAAAGCCUUGUAAAGAGGAAAAUAUUUUAAAUGUUAUUUCAGUGUUUCAUCAAAAAAGAUUUUGCAAAGCUAUUUGUGACUGACUCUUUGGAGAUCUUGGUAUAAGGUUAUACUUAUACAUGUUUAAAGCAAUUCCAAGAUUUAUCCAUUUAGAAGAAAAAGUGUAAAACUUAAAAAAAAAAUGAAAAAGAAAAAAUGUAUUUUCUCCUUGUCUUCAUAAAAGAAGGCAGAAGAAAAAAAAAAACAAAAAACAGAGCAAGCAAAUAACCUUUUUUUUUUUUUUUUUCCUCCCUGAAAAUAACCCUAGAAACACCCAGCACAGCAUAAAAAAUCAUCAAAUGCUUUUGAACUAAAAGCCAUUCUUUUCUUGGGAAAACAUGUAUAGACAAAAAUACCCAAGCUGCCAAACUGAUAAAUACAAUUGACCUGCUGUGAUGUUAACUUAGAGCUCAUCGAUUUCAUUUCUGAUGUGCCACAGGAACAUUCAUUUGCACUGAGUGCUAGCUAAGACCUUUUCAUUAGUGCUGCAGCAGCUGGAUUGUAGAUUUGGUCAAUGCGGAUGGGUAUGGAAUGACUUGGGCUCUUCUACCCCAGCUUUUGUCUGGCCAGAUGUGAGCUUAUGACAAUAGGCUGUUCCUGUGAAAGGCCAGGCAUGGUAGCCCAGGUGCAGUGCUGGAGUAGAGCUGGGGUCAAGCUUUGUGUUAUGAUUGGAUACUGAAAAAAAAGAAAUAGGUAAUUUGAGUUAAACCUGGUUAUUUACUCAAAACAAGCUCUCAUAAAGCCAUUUUCGAGAUUGUAUCAGAGCAUCUUCCAGUAAUGAAUUAUUCAGUUUAAUCAAUUUUUCACUCUCUCCUGCAUGAUUAGGAAACUGGGAUCUGGGACACAAAAUUGAGAGUGAUCCAUGGAGCAUCUCUAACUUUGAUAAGACCAGCCCUACUGGGAAUUUUCUUCAUUUAAAAACUGGGAGAUAAAGGGAUUGAGGCCGAUGCUGCUGUAGCUGAAAAGGGCGUCUCAUUCCAUACAGUUCAUAGAGACGCUGAGUCCAUUCCAUCCAUUCCAUAUGUCCUACAUCUCUGUGCUGGCAGUGAGAUAGUGAGGUCUGGGAAUGGGGAAUACUGGGAAUACUACUCUUCUCUUCUCUUCUCUUCUCUUCUCUUCUCUUCUCUUCUCUUCUCUUCUCUUCUCUUCUCUUCUCUUCUCUUCUCUUCUCUUCUCUUCUCUUCUCUUCUCUUCUCUUCUCUUCUCUUCUCUUCUCUUCUCUUCUCUUCUCUUCUCUUCUCUUCUCUUCUCUUCUCUUCUCUUCUCUUCUCUUCUCUUCUCUUCUCUCUUCUUUUACUUUAUUUUCUUUCUCCUCCCCAGAUAAAAUUGUCUACCUGCAAAAUGAAUCAUCUGAAUUUAGGUUUUCCUUUAAAGUUUUAUGGGCUGCAUAUUUGCUCCCCAUCCUUUCUUUAAUUUUGCUAGUGAGGAGCCUGUCUGUACCAUGCAACUCACAACUGCCUGGGAGACCUGUGACAAGUAAAUUUCAGUCUCUCAGUAGAGCUGGUAUUCUUAGAGCUGCAGGAGCAGUCAUCAUGAAGGGGAAAGCUGUGAACGCCAAUAAAUUAUUGAAGAAAGCAGGAGAAAUAUUUCCUUCUGUUGACACAUUGGCAUUCACCUUUGGGAAUGUAAUCAUGGGAAAGGUAGGCAAUCUUUUGUCAUAGAGAUCUUUUGCUCGGAGAAUUCAGUCUUUUUAAAACCUUAGGAGGGAGCCUGCAAGCCCUCAACAUGGAAGGGGUAUUCAAGUUAUAGGAUGUCUUCAGGCAGACAAGUUUCUCAGAAAUGACAGUGAAACUGAAUUAAGUCUGCAACACAUUAAAAUUACUUGGUGAUAAAAAGGGAGGUUAGUGAGGUAGAGAGUAAACCCCUCCAGCUCCCUGACACCCCGGGACAGUUUCCAAUCAGGAGGGGGAUUGUUUUCUACGAACAAAACAAGACAGCAUUAGUACAAGACAGAGCAUAAACAUGGCAAAAUUUAGAGUUCAGAGAAGAACAGAAGAUGGAAGCCAACCUCUUGGUGUAAGGCAGAGGAAACAGCAAGGACAUGCCUACAAGAUCAACAUUUCCUUUUGGGUUGUGACAUGGGGGAAGGACUGGGGCAGUUCUUGAGAGCUGGGGUGGUGCAGGAGUGGUUUCUUCUAGCCUGAAAAUCUGAUUCUACCUCUUUCUUCCAUCACUGAAACAAAGGAACCUACCCAGGCCUGUGAACAUAGAUUUGUCUGUCUGAAUUUCAAAUUUUGCUUGGAAAGCCAUCAAAUUAGCACUGAUGUUUUAUUCCAACAUCAGAAACGGCAGGGAAAAAUACCCAGGAGCUCGUUGGAUUUAAAUCCACAGAAUCAUCUCCAGUUUUGUUUAGACGAGAUGAGUGAAUAACCCCCCUUCUCAGCAUCAUAUUUGGCUCAAAUCACCAAUUUACUGGUUUACAAAAAUCUAAAACUGCCCCUCCGGCAAAUUAAGGGAUUACGUCAAUCACUCAAGUCCAUUCUACCUGACAACAGCACGCAGCAACAGGGCAAAAGGUUUGAUGCUCUGCUGGAAUGUGAUAAGGAGAAAAUGCCAAAUGACACAUAGGCAAAGUUAUUACCAGCGAGAUGAAGACAAACUGGAGGGAGUUCAGAGAAGUGCAACAAAAAUGAUUAGAGAGCUGGAGGGGUUGAUUUAGAAGGAAAGUUUACAAGAACAACUGGCAAUAUGCACAGCAGGGCUGAGCAACAUCUGAGGGGGGAGAGAGAGCCAGUUGCAAACAUCUGAACAGUGCAAACACCCAGGGAGGAACACAAUUACCCAAGGGGGAAAUAACUAAGAUAAUAGGUUGAAAUUAGGAGAAAGAGAUAAACAUCAAAAUAACUUCUCAGUGAAAAGACUGUGGAAUAACCUACUAUGGGAAGACAUGGAAGUCCAAGCCAAGCAGGCUAUAAAUUCCUUCCCACAGCCCCUGCAGAUACAAAAGUCAGCCACAGAUAACUUUGAAAACAAUUUCUAAGCAACAAAUGUCAGAACUUCUGCAAGAAACCAGGUGUGAGAAGGUGUUUAGAACUGAUGAUUUCCAGAUAACUCUACUAGUUUUCUUGCUGUUCAAAUGCACAAUGGGGAGGAGUUUGAAAAGGCUCUUGCUUUCUGUUUCCUGGGUGAAAUGACUGCACUGGAAACCUCCAAAAGUGCAGUUGUGGCAAUCAAGACAUUGCCCACUCAUCGACAAAUAGUUUUCCAGUUGAGAUAGUUGGUUUAAAUCUCCCUCAGGUUUGGAGUGACUGGAAAUCAACACCAGAUAAUGGCUGUUUGGUAGUAGAUGUGACAUGAGUUAAUGCACUCACUUGAAUUUCUAGUGGAUAUUGGACAUGUGCUCACAUUACAAAUGCUUUGAACAGCAUGAUCAGCAUUAAAUUAACAUCUACACUGACAAUCUUGCCAAAGAAAUCCAGAAGGAGAUGGACAUUAGUAAUGAACUGCACGUUCACCUUUGGAGUGAAGUCAUUAGCAAGGUAAACUUUACCUCAUGGGCUCUGAACCUCGUCUCCUCUACUGUAUUUCCUAACUCCUGGAUGGGAUGUCAAUUUGCAAAGCAGAUUAUUUAGCAUAUUUCCUCAGCAUACAAGAAACUGCUACCAUUAAAGAAAAUUUACAUUACAGAACGGUUGUUUAUUAGACAUUAUCAUUAAUUAAUAAGUAUUUUUAGCUGCUUCUUGACAAGGAAGGUGCAUGGCAUGCAUGUGACACAAUUCAUCUGGUUUUAUAGAAGGUAGUAAUAGCUGCAAUGAGUAUAGAAGUAGCACAGGACUCUCUUGCAGAGUGGUAUUUGAAGGUCUGGCUAAGCAAAGCCACUUAGGCCAUUUCUAGUUUAUUGUUGUUACACUUUGGUAUGGCUUUCUAGUAAUUUAUAGGGGUGUUUGUUGAGUUCAUGAGCUCUUGAGACCUGCAUCCAAUAAAAUAGUGAUGUACUUUCUCUUGACUGAAGGCAGAAGCAUAUAUCAUUGCAUGCAGUGGGUCUGAUAUCAUUUUAUGCUGGAUGGGGAAAAAGGCUGUGAAGCUCUGUAGCUUAGUAAAAGAAAAGGAAAAGUAAAGAAAAAUGGCAAUAAAGGACAUCACUUUGUGCAGGGCACUAUUUUGUUUCUAGAUUCUUUAGCUUCAUACAUUAGCAAGCCGGGAAUUUGGUGGGUUAAUCCUACCCUUGACUGUAAGAUCCCAUAUUAGUUAACGAUCUCUUUCUGAACUUGAUAUAAAGCCACAUAAGUUAAUGAGCAGCUAUUAGACAAAUCAUUAUUUAUAUACUUAUAUAUAUUCCCAUAAUUUUUCAUCUGUAUUUUAACUUUGCCAUGACAUAGGGUGCUAAUCCUUCAUGCUCUUGCAGUGUUAACAACAAUAUCUUUUCCCAUUUAAUUAAUAUUUUUAAAAGUUGCCUCAUCCUCCACCAUUAACAUCUUCCCCUCUAUCAAACAAUAAGUGAUAUGGAUCAGUCUUAGUCGAUUAGCUGUAAAGAAGAGGAAAAAUCACUAAGGCAGCAAGGCUUAUUCUUAAAGUAACUUCUCUCUUUCCACCUACUUGUCUAUUCUUAGACUACUGUAAACAUAAAAUGGUCAGGCAGCACAUAGAACAGUCCUAUCAUGUAGGAAAAAAAAAAAAAAUUGGUUCCUAGUGUGACUGUGCACCUUUGCAUAAAAUAAAUAAAUAAAAAUCUCUGUCAUGGAAAAGACAAAGGUAGCAUUGCUUUUACUGGUUUUCUCAGAAAUCUAACUUCCCUUCCCUUCCCUUCCCUUCCCUUCCCUUCCCUUCCCUUCCCUUCCCUUCCCUUCCCUUCCCUUCCC